rnacentral:tRNA from 1 species
GCGCCCGUAGCUCAACAGGAUAGAGCGACGGCCUCCGGAGCCGUAGGUUGUGGGUUCGAUUCCCGCCGGGCGUACCA